GUCCACGCCCUAAACGAUGUCAACUGGUUGUUGGGUAUUUACUUACUCAGUAACGAAGCUAACGCGUGAAGUUGACCGCCUGGGGAGUACGGCCGCAAGGUUGAAACUCAAAGGAAUUGACGGGACCCGCACAAGCGGUGGAUGAUGUGGUUUAAUUCGAUGAUACGCGAGGAACCUUACCCAGGCUCGAACGGCAUCUGAAUCGUCCAGAGAUGGGCGAGUCUUCGGACAGAUGUCGAGGUGCUGCAUGGUUGUCGU
rnacentral:rRNA from 1 species